UCUAUUCCCUAACGGAAAAGGGGGUACUCUUCUAGUGGACUACAGGCGUUAGAGACAUAACUCAUUUUCGAGAAAAUGAUGGUUCUGGAUCAUAUUAUGUUUCUUUGUGUUGCUGCUUUAGUUGUGCUAAAUGAAAUAAAUCCGACAGAGGCGUCUGGACAUGAUGGAUGUGACAGCAGCAAUAAAUUGUCAGGAAACUGGAUGCUUCUGACCAUUCUAUUGAUUCUUGUUGCGGCUUUAAUUAAACGGUAGACACGUCGAUAUUAGAAGUAGUUCAGUGAUUCAAUGCAACGUAGACAUUCAGAGUGCAGCCGUGUUGAACUUUAAAUUCUGAAACUUUCAUCAAUUUUUUCUUUUUAUCUAUUUUUAUUUCAUAGAUAUUUUAAUGUCAGUUUUCCACUUCUUUUGGGUUAAUUUUGUACAUCAUAUGA